UUGCAGGAAGACAGUCUCAUCAGAUCGCGUCUCCGGCAGACGAGCGCUGCUGCCGGGGGUCGGACUGGGCUCCACCCAGCACCCCUCCCCCAAGCCCUGGCGAGGCGAGAAACCGAGAUGGUGGAAGCAGAAACUGGAGCCCCGGCGCCGGGCAGCCGCGAGGGACCGAGCCUUUGAGGGUUCUGCUGCCUCUUGCCAAGGUCAAUCAAACCCUCCCGUCCUCGGGAGGCGUGCGCCGCGUGCGCGGCAGCAGGCGGCGAACCGGCAGAGGUGUGGCAAUCCUGGGGACUGACCCAUUUGGCUGGAAGGGGCUGGGCUUUCAACCCUCUCUUGCAGCCUGUCCUGAGCCAGCCUGAACUUAGCAGGAAGUCUCUACCCAGAUGUAAUGCCUGGAGCUGCAGCAGCCACGUUAAGAUCAUAAGGUUGGACAAGCAUGAGGACAAAAAGCCAACAUAGUGAGGGUGACAGAAAGUCAAGACACAAAGAACCUGGAUCCUUGAUAGCACCAUUGGAGCAGCUGAAUCAAUACCACCAA